rnacentral:rRNA from 1 species
GGGGAAUUUUCCGCAAUGGGCGAAAGCCUGACGGAGCAACGCCGCGUGAGGGAUGAAGGCCUCUGGGCUGUAAACCUCUUUUCUCAAGGAAGAAGAUCUGACGGUACUUGAGGAAUAAGCCACGGCUAAUUCCGUGCCAGCAGCCGCGGUAAUACGGGAGUGGCAAGCGUUAUCCGGAAUUAUUGGGCGUAAAGCGUCCGCAGGCGGUCCAGAAAGUCUGCUGUUAAAAAGUGGAGCUUAACUCCAUCAUGGCAGUGGAAACUUCUGGACUAGAGUGUGGUAGGGGCAGAGGGAAUUCCCGGUGUAGCGGUGAAAUGCGUAGAUAUCGGGAAGAACACCAGUGGCGAAGGCGCUUUACUGGGCUAUUACUAACACUGAGAGACGAAAGCUAGGGUAGCAAAUGGGAUUAGAUACCCCAGUAGUC